GUUGAACGCUAGCGGGGUGCUUUACACAUGCAAGUCGAACGAGUGGCGGACGGGUGGGUAAUAUAUCGGCACGUUCCCAGUAGCGAGGGAUAGCUACUCGAACUAGUAGCUGAUACCGCGUACUAUUGGAGCGGCCGCUAUCGGAUUAGCUAGUUGGUGGGGUAAAGGCUCGCCAAGGCAACGAUCCGUAGCUGGUUUGAGAGGACGACAAGCCACACUGGGACUGAGACACGGCCCAGACGCCUACGGGAGGCAGCAGUGGGGAAUGUGGGGCAAUGGGGGAAACUCUGACCCAGCCAUCCAGCGUGUAUUGGAAGGCCCUCGGGGUGUAAAGUACGUUUUGCAGAGAAGCGGUAUCUGCAGAAGAAGCACCGGCUAACUACGUGCCAGCAGCCGCGGUAAUAC
rnacentral:rRNA from 1 species